AAAGGAAUUGACGGGGGCCCGCACAAGCGGAGGAGCAUGUGGUUUAAUUCGAUGAUACGCGAGGAACCUUACCCGGGCUUGAACGUAAGACGAAUAUAUAAGAGAUUAUAUAGCCUUCGGGCGUCUUGCGAGGUGCUGCAUGGUUGUCGUCAGCUCGUGCCGUGAGGUGUUAGGUUAAGUCCUGCAACGAGCGCAACCCUUACACUUAGUUGCCAGCACGUAAUGGUGGGGACUCUAAGUGAACUGCCUACGCAAGUAGAGAGGAAGGUGGGGAUGACGUCAAAUCAGCACGGCCCUUAUGUCCGGGGCUACACACGUGCUACAAUGGUAUGUACAGAGGGCAGCCACCUGGCGACAGGGAGCUAAUCCUCAAAGCAUAUCUCAGUUCGGAUUGGAGUCUGUAACUCGACUCUAUGAAGUUGGAUUCGCUAGUAAUCGCGCAUCAGCCAUGGCGCGGUGAAUACGUUCCCGGGCCUUGCACACACCGCCCGU
rnacentral:rRNA from 1 species